rnacentral:tRNA from 1 species
UUGGGGAUUUAGCUCAGUGGUAGAGCGCUUGCCUACUAGCAAGCACAAGGCCCUGGGUUCGAUCCUCGGCUCUGAA